rnacentral:lncRNA from 1 species
CAACAGCUUCAGGGCCUGCCCUGGCCCCGGUGGGUAACGCCCGCCUGCCCGCCAGCCAUUGUCCGGUCAUACCAGGAAGGUUGCUUAGACCAGGAAGUUACUUCUCUGCUUCCAUUACUGUGUAAUGUAGCCAACACCAGCGGCUCUGCUGAUGGGCAACCAGGAGGACGUCUGGAGGCAGCGGAUCCACCGAUGACUAUGGAGAGGAUGAAAUAUCAGCAGCAGAUCACUCCAAGUGUUGUCUUGAAGGUGAAACGUCCCACGUUUAGUGCCGCGUCUGCUGUGGGGAGUGGCCGGUACAGGUGGGCUACUUUCACUUCCUGUUAUCCAUGCUGGUCCUUCUACCCAGGUUGGAUUUAACAUCGUUCCUCUUUCUAGCAGCACAUUA